rnacentral:sRNA from 1 species
ACUCAAUUGUUUUGGAAAGAAACUGUGAAAGUGUGAAAGUUAGCAAAAAAGUGUGAACCAUUUAGUUAAGUCUCGGUAAUUUGCGAGGCAUACCUUUUGACCAUGUUUUAUUUUCAGGGAUUGGCAAAGUGAAAGAUGGUUUUCACGUUUUGUCUAUUUAGCUAAAAUUUGAUCCUUUUGCCCUUGCUGCUACAGCUGAAAAACUGUUAAAUGUACGGUUUAGUUAGUCAGGUUUAGUUAGAUACACUGUUCCGGUUUAGUUGAAGAUAUUUUUGUUUCACGGUGAGGAGUGCGGCUGUACAGUUAGAAGGGAGAUUUUUUU